rnacentral:pre_miRNA from 1 species
UGUGUACUCCCUCCGUUCCAAAUUACUUGACUUCCAUUUGUCCAAAAAUGGAUGUACCUAUAUACUAAGACAUGUCUAGAUACAUAUAUAUUUUGACAAAUAGAAGGCAUGUAUUGUGCAACGGAGGGAGUAGAAU